rnacentral:rRNA from 1 species
GACGGAAGGUGCAAGCGUUGCUCGGAAUCACUGGGCGUAAAGGGUGCGUAGGCGGCCGUGCAAGUCUGGCGUGAAAGCCCCGGGCUCAGCCCGGGAAGUGCGCUCGAAACUGCGCGGCUCGAGUGCCUGAGGGGAGAGUGGAAUUCCUGGUGUAGCGGUGAAAUGCGUAGAUAUCAGGAGGAAUACCGGUGGCGAAAGCGACUCUCUGGACGGCAACUGACGCUGAGGCACGAAAGCGUGGGGAGCAAACAGG